GUUUGGGAUAGCUCAAGUCGGUAGAGCGUGAGACUCUUAAUCUCAAGGUCACGGGUUUGAGCCUCAUGUUGGGCA